UGUAUUUUUGCAUGGGGUGGUUAAAUUUCUUGCACUGAAUGAUCUUGCACAAAUACUUAACUUCAUCCAUGCAUAGUGACAAUACACACCUAUAUUCACAACAUUACCCAACUUAUAAAAACAAAAAUAUAGACACAUACAUGUCAAUAAAUUUACAUAGAAUAUCACCAAAAAAAGAUAUACCUACUUUAACAUGGUAACUGGCAUUAUACACAAAUACAACUGCAUAAGCCAUGAUAUUCAUUGCAUAAGAAAAUGCACACCUACGUCAAAAU